AGAGUUUGAUCAUGGCUCAGGAUGAACGCUGGCGGCGUGCUUAACACAUGCAAGUCGAACGGGAAACCUUUUAUUGAAGCUUCGGCAGAUUUAGCUGGUUUCUAGUGGCGGACGGGUGAGUAACGCGUGGGUAACCUGCCUUAUACAGGGGGAUAACAGUCAGAAAUGGCUGCUAAUACCGCAUAAGCACACAGAGCUGCAUGGCUCAGUGUGAAAAACUCCGGUGGUAUAAGAUGGACCCGCGUUGGAUUAGCUAGUUGGUGGGGUAACGGCCCACCAAGGCGACGAUCCAUAGCCGGCCUGAGAGGGUGAACGGCCACAUUGGGACUGAGACACGGCCCAGACUCCUACGGGAGGCAGCAGUGGGGAAUAUUGCACAAUGGGGGAAACCCUGAUGCAGCGACGCCGCGUGAAGGAAGAAGUAUCUCGGUAUGUAAACUUCUAUCAGCAGGGAAGAUAAUGACGGACCUGACUAAGAAGCCCCGGCUAACUACGUGCCAGCAGCCGCGGUAAUACGUAGGGGGCAAGCGUUAUCCGGAUUUACUGGGUGUAAAGGGAGCGUAGACGGUGUGGCAAGUCUGAUGUGAAAGGCAUGGGCUCAACCCGUGGACUGCAUUGGAAACUGUCAUACUUGAGUGCCGGAGGGGUAAGCGGAAUUCCUAGUGUAGCGGUGAAAUGCGUAGAUAUUAGGAGGAACACCAGUGGCGAAGGCGGCUUACUGGACGGUAACUGACGUUGAGGCUCGAAAGCGUGGGGAGCAAACAGGAUUAGAUACCCUGGUAGUCC
rnacentral:rRNA from 1 species